rnacentral:lncRNA from 1 species
GGUGCACGGGCCGCCAUGUUGGGUAAGGGCAGCUGCUUUGGCUGCUUACCCGGAACCCUCUCAAUCUAUUGACUCGACCCUAAUACCUGGUCUUGGCUCCACACCCACUCCUCCCGAGGCCCGGACUCGUGGAGCAGCAUUUCUGGCGCCACCCUAUAGCCAGUAGGAUGGGCGGCGCGAGUAAGGAUCAGAAGCGGUUCCUUGUUUUGAAUUACCACGUGGAUUGGCAAGCCAAUCAUGGGAAGCGUCCACUUUCAUUCGCCGGCUGCCCAGACCCCGCUUUUAUCCUGGGUCAGAUGGCAGAACCUCUUGAUCUAAAUAAAGGUGCUAGGUCUGCCUAGUCGGCUGCCGUCUUGGGCCUCUGAGGACCUCGCGGCGAGGCUGCGAGCAGAGGCGUUGGUCUAGCUUCCCAGUGGAGGCCAUGGGAUCUUGGGAGGUUUUGUUCUCCACUCUUGGAGAAACGAGAAUGGGAACUGGAGACAUUACCGCCUGGACUGCCCUAAUGCUAAGUGCAACGGCUUUGGCCACUCGCCCUGGAAGGCGGAAUAUGGAGGGCGGCCGACUAAGUGCAGAAAAGUAUCUGGAGCUAAAAGGGCUUGGAGCCCGGCGACAAGGGUUUGAGAGGGGCACUUAUGCUCCCAUUCAGUGAAAUCAGUGGAUCAAUAUCAGUGGAGAAGGGAGAUGUCUGCAUGUGAUAACUGGCUGCCUCCAUGGACUGAGGUUCAAACAUGCCUGGAAACAAACCUAAAGCUGCCCUACCUAAGAAUCACAUUCCAAGCUAGACCUUGACCCUCAUACCUGUGAACCCGGACGGUCCAGAAACAAGCUUACCAGUGAGUCUGGGCUCAGGAACAGGUGUGUGUGCCCUUGGAGCUGGGGCUAUUGGAUUGGCCUACCUACAUCCUCAACAGUCUCUACUCUGCCUGAAUGAUCCUGAGGGUAUCAGAAAGCCCUACACUGUUGGUACCUGGGCCCCAACAUACUGUGAACGGAAAUGGGCCUUCUUUCUUUUUCUAUAGGUUAUUUGCUGGCAGUUCUAUUAAACUUGUUUCUAAG